GCGGCAAGACGGAAAGACCCCGUGAACCUUUACUAUAGCUUGACACUGAACAUUGAGCCUUGAUGUGUAGGAUAGGUGGGAGGCUUUGAAGUGUGGACGCCAGUCUGCAUGGAGCCGACCUUGAAAUACCACCCUUUAAUGUUUGAUGUUCUAACGUGGACCCGUUACCCGGGUUGCGGACAGUGUCUGGUGGGUAGUUUGACUGGGGCGGUCUCCUCCUAAAGAGUAACGGAGGAGCACGAAGGUUGGCUAAUCCUGGUCGGACAUCAGGAGGUUAGUGCAAUGGCAUAAGCCAGCUUGACUGCGAGCGUGACGGCGCGAGCAGGUGCGAAAGCAGGUCAUAGUGAUCCGGUGGUUCUGAAUGGAAGGGCCAUCGCUCAACGGAUAAAAGGUACUCCGGGGAUAACAGGCUGAUACCGCCCAAGAGUUCAUAUCGACGGCGGUGUUUGGCACCUCGAUGUCGGCUCAUCACAUCCUGGGGCUGAAGUAGGUCCCAAGGGUAUGGCUGUUCGCCAUUUAAAGUGGUACGCGAGCUGGGUUUAGAACGUCGUGAGACAGUUCGGUCCCUAUCUGCCGUGGGCGCUGGAGAACUGAGGGGGGCUGCUCCUAGUACGAGAGGACCGGAGUGGACGCAUCACUGGUGUUCGGGUUGUCAUGCCAAUGGCACUGCCCGGUAGCUAAAUGCGGAAGAGAUAAGUGCUGAAAGCAUCUAAGCACGAAACUUGCCCCGA
rnacentral:rRNA from 2 species